UACGUAGGGUCCGAGCGUUGUCCGGAAUUAUUGGGCGUAAAGGGCUCGUAGGCGGUCUGUUGCGUCGGGAGUGAAAACUUACAGCUUAACUGUGAGCGUGCUUUCGAUACGGGCAGACUUGAGGCAUUCAGGGGAGAACGGAAUUCCUGGUGUAGCGGUGAAAUGCGCAGAUAUCUGGAGGAACAUCAGUGGCGAAGGCGGCUUCCUGGUCCAACACUGACACUGAGGUGCGAAAGCGUGGGGAGCAAACAGG
rnacentral:rRNA from 1 species